rnacentral:rRNA from 2 species
GAUGAACGCUGGCGGCGUGCCUAAUACAUGCAAGUCGAACGAGUUCUGAUUAUUGAAAGGUGCUUGCAUCUUGAUUUAAUUUUGAACGAGUGGCGGACGGGUGAGUAACACGUGGGUAACCUGCCCUUAAGUGGGGGAUAACAUUUGGAAACAGAUGCUAAUACCGCAUAAAUCCAAGAACCGCAUGGUUCUUGGCUGAAAGAUGGCGUAAGCUAUCGCUUUUGGAUGGACCCGCGGCGUAUUAGCUAGUUGGUGAGGUAACGGCUCACCAAGGCAAUGAUACGUAGCCGAACUGAGAGGUUGAUCGGCCACAUUGGGACUGAGACACGGCCCAAACUCCUACGGGAGGCAGCAGUAGGGAAUCUUCCACAAUGGACGCAAGUCUGAUGGAGCAACGCCGCGUGAGUGAAGAAGGCUUUCGGGUCGUAAAACUCUGUUGUUGGAGAAGAAUGGUCGGCAGAGUAACUGUGUCGGC